rnacentral:rRNA from 1 species
AUUGAACGCUGGCGGCAGGCCUAACACAUGCAAGUCGAACGCGUGGCGGACGGGUGAGUAAUGUCUGGGAAACUGCCUGAUGGAGGGGGAUAACUACUGGAAACGGUAGCUAAUACCGCAUACCAUCGGAUGUGCCCAGAUGGGAUUAGCUAGUAGGUGGGGGAACGGCCCACCGAGGCGACGAUCCCUAGCUGGUCUGAGAGGAUGACAAGGCACACUGGAACGGAUACACGGUGCAGACUCCUACGUGAGGCAGCAGUGGGGAAUAGUGCAGAAUGGGCGAAAGCCUGAUGCAGCCAUGCCGCGUGUAUGAAGAAGGCCUUCGGGUUGUAAAGUACUUUCAGCGGGGAGGCGUUACCCGCAGAAGAAGCACCGGCUAACUCCGUGCCAGCAGCCGCGGUAAUUC